rnacentral:rRNA from 1 species
UACAGAGGUCUCAAGCGUUGUUCGGAUUCAUUGGGCGUAAAGGGUGCGUAGGCGGCGCGGUAAGUCGGGUGUGAAAUCUCGGAGCUUAACUUCGAAACUGCAUUCGAUACUGCCGUGCUUGAGGACUGGAGAGGAGACUGGAAUUUACGGUGUAGCGGUGAAAUGCGUAGAUAUCGUAAGGAAGACCAGUGGCGAAGGCGGGUCUCUGGACAGUUCCUGAUGCUGAGGCACGAAGGCCAGGGGAGCAAACGGG